rnacentral:rRNA from 1 species
AGUUUGAUCAAGGCUCAGAUUGAACGCUGGCGGAUGCUUUACACAUGCAAGUCGAACGGCAGCACGGACUUCGGUCUGGUGGCGAGUGGCGAACGGGUGAGUAAUGUAUCGGAACGUGCCUAGUAGCGGGGAUAACUACGCGAAAGCGUAGCUAAUACCGCAUACGGGCCUUCGGGGGGAAAGCGGGGACCUUCGGGCCUCGCACCAGCGGCCGAUAUCGGAUUAGCUAGUUGGUGGGGUAACGGCUCACCAAGGCGACGAUCCGUAGCUGGUUUGAGAGGACGACCAGCCACAUCAGCUGGGACCGAGACACGGCCCAGACUACGGGAGGCAGCAGUGGGGAAUUCUGACAGGUCGGGGAAACCCUGAUCCAGCCAACAUCCCGCGUAUGCGAUGAAGGCCUUCGGGUUGUAAAGCACUUUUGGCAGGAAGAAACGGCACGAUAAUACCCCGUGCAACUGACGGGUACCUGCAGAAUAAGCACCGAUAACUACGUGCCACAGCCGCGGUAAUGUAGGUAAGCGUUAAUCGGAAUUACUGGGCGUAAAGCGUGCGCAGGCGGUUCGGAAAGAAAGAUGUGAAAUCCCAGAGCUUAACUUUGAACUGCAUUUAACUACCGAGCUAGAGUGUGUCAGAGGGAGGUGGAAUUCCGCGUGUAGCAGUGAAUGCGUAGAUAUGCGGAGGAACACCGAUGGCGAAGGCAGCCUCCUGGGAUAACACUGACGCUCGCGCACGAAAGCGCGGGGAGCAAACAGGAUUAAGAUACCCUGGUAGUCCACGCCCUAAACGAUGUCAACUUAGCUGUUGGGGCCUUCUGGCCUGGUAGCGCAGCUAACGUGAAGUUGACCGCCUGGGGAGUACGGUCGCAAGAUUAAAACUCAAAGGAAUUGACGGGGACCCGCACAAGCGGUGGAUGAUGUGGAUUAAUUCGAUGCAACGCGAAAAACCUUACCUACCCUUGACAUGUCUGGAAUCCCGAAGAGAUUGGGGAGUGCUCGCACAGGAACCGGAACACAGGUGCUGCAUGGCUGUCGUCAGUCGUGUCGUGAGAUGUUGCCAAGUCCCGGCAACGAGCGCAACCCUUGUCAUUAGUUGCUACGAAAGGGUACUCUAAUGAGACUGCCGGUGACAAACCGGAGUGAUGCGUGGGGAUGACGUCAAGUCCUCAUGGCCCUUGGCGGUAGGCUUCACACGUCAUACAACACACAGAGGCCUUUUCAACCCGCGAGGGGGGAGCCAAUCCCAGAACCUGAUUUGUCCGAUCGGGUAGUCUGCAACUCGACUGCGCAAAGUCGGAAUCGCCAGUAAUCGCGGAUCAGCAUGUCGCGGUGAAUACGUUCCCGGGUCUUGUACAUACCGCCCGUCACACCAUGGGAGUGGGUUUUAACAGAAGUAGUUAGCCUAACCGUAAGGAGGCGAUUACCACGGUAGGAUUCAUGACUGGGGUGAAGUCGUAACAAGGUAA